rnacentral:rRNA from 1 species
UAGGAACAUAUCCAGAGGUAGGGGACAACCCCGGGAAACUGGGGCUAAUACCGCAUAUGAGCCGAGGCUCAAAGCAGUGAUGCGCCUUUGGAGUGGCCUGCGUCCGAUUAGCUUGUUGGUGGGGUAAUGGCUUACCAAGGCGUCGAUCGGUAGCUGGUCUGAGAGGAUGGCCAGCCACAUUGGGACUGAGACACGGCCCAGACCUCCUACGGGAG